GGCUCCGGGCGGCCGUGACCCUGCUGGAGUCCGGGGGGGACCUCCAGCCCCCCGGGGGGUCCCUGCCCCUCCUCUGCCGAGGGGAAGGAUUCGAGUUCGGGAAAUUCACCAUGUACUGGGUGCGCCAGAAAUCCGGGAAGGUGCUGGAAUACGUCGCACAGAUCAGCAGUGAUGGUGGCAGAUCCUGGACCGCACCGUCUUUGCGUGGCCGGUUCAGCAUCGCCAGGGACAACGGGCAGAGCUCUGUGACGCUGAGCAUGAACAACCUCCAGGACGAGGAUUCCGGCGUUUAUUUCUGUGCCAAACGAUUUGAUGCUGGUGCUGCGCCGAGCGCUGAGCCCAAAUCCCCGCCCGGGGCCCCCUGA